ACCCAGCUGGCUUAGUCGGUAGAGCAUGCGACUUUUUUUUUUUAAGUAAGCUCUGUGCCCAACAUGGGACUUGAACUUAUGACCCUGAGAUCGAGCUGGAGCAUGUGACUCUUGAUCACUGGGUCGUGAGUUUGAGUCUCGUGUUGGGCA
rnacentral:tRNA from 1 species